rnacentral:tRNA from 1 species
UCCCUGGUGGUCCAGUGGUUAGGACUCCCUGCUUUCACUGCAAGGAGCACAGGUUCUGUUCCUGGUCAGGGAA